GUCAUCUACGAGAAUAGCCUCCACGGGGCGGAUGGCGGGCAACGCAAGACUUUUUGCGGCUAAUAUUCUCU
rnacentral:ribozyme from 1 species